rnacentral:rRNA from 1 species
CAGUCGCCGCGGUAAUACGUAGGUGGCGAGCGUUGUCCGGAAUCAUUGGGCGUAAAGGGAGCGCAGGCGGGCAUAUAAGUCUUUCUUAAAAGUUCGGGGCUCAACCCCGUGAUGGGAAAGAAACUAUAUGUCUUGAGUACAGGAGAGGAAAGCGGAAUUCCCAGUGUAGCGGUGAAAUGCGUAGAUAUUGGGAGGAACACCAGUGGCGAAGGCGGCUUUCUGGACUGCAACUGACGCUGAGGCUCGAAAGCCAGGGGAGCGAACGGGAUUAGAUACCCGCGUAGUCCCUGUCUCUUAUACA